GGUGGGUUGGCAUAAUUGGUAAUGCGUCUGACUACGACCUCGUAGAGUAUCAGGAGAUUCUGGGUUCGAGCCCCAGGCUCGCCU